ACCUUUUGGUUCGGCAACAACACAGGGAAACUUGUGCUAAUACCGGAUAAGCCCUUACGGGGAAAGAUUUAUCGCCGAAAGAUCGGCCCGCGUCUGAUUAGCUAGUUGGGGAGGUAAAAGCUCACCAAGGCGACGAUCAGUAGCUGGUCUGAGAGGAUGAUCAGCCACACUGGGACUGAGACACGGCCCAGACUCCUACGGGAGGCAGCAGUGGGGAAUAUUGGACAAUGGGCGAAAGCCUGAUCCAGCCAUGCCGCGUGAGUGAUGAAGGCCCUAGGGUUGUUAAUCUCUUUUGUGCGGGAAGAUAAUGACGGUACCGCAAGAAUAAGCCCCGGCUAACUUCGUGCCAGCAGCCGCGGUAAUACGAAGGGGGCUAGCGUUGCUCGGAAUCACUGGGCGUAAAGGGUGCGUAGGCGGGUUUUUAAGUCAGAGGUGAAAUCCUGGAGCUCAACUCCAGAACUGCCUUUGAUACUGAGAAUCUUGAGUUCGGGAGAGGUGAGUGGAACUGCGAGUGUAGAGGUGAAAUUCGUAGAUAUUCGC
rnacentral:rRNA from 1 species